rnacentral:lncRNA from 1 species
UUCAAUUCUAGGAUAAGAUUUUAUUCAAAACUUCAUUGUAAAAGUGGUACAGUUUUAGCCGUAAAAGGAGUUUUUAUUGGAAAUUGCAUUGUCAAUUAAUAUUUACAGAAAUGCAACCUUAAAGUGCCAGAGGUUUAAAUCACUUUGCUGCUUCUCCACUAAGAAUGUGGCAUUUUAGAAGUUGGAUCAAAGAUUAAUAAGCCUAUUAUAAUGUGUCUGUGUAGCACCAGCAGAUAGUAUAAUUUUGAGAGAGAUCAUGCCCAGAUGAUGCUGAAUACGUGUAUCGGAUAUUUGCUAGUAUCUGUUACCCCUUUAGUAAUCAUUUAAUAGUUGAAACAGUGAUUAUUAGUUUGUUAAAAUUUCUAGUCAAUCUGAUAUUGAAAUAUUUUUUUUGGAUACAAUACCUAUUAUAUAAAAAAGAAGAUAAGAACAUAAAAAAAAAAAAAAUGCAAGAUUCUGUCUUUUGGUAUUCUGUUUUAUUCUGUUACUGAUAUGCUAUGGAAAGAAAUGAAUGGGAGUUAUCUUUCUUAGUCUAGUUUGGAUUGUCUCUGUAAGCACAAACAAUCUAUGAAGAAGUUUUCAAGAAAAUCAAAUAUAUCUGGUGAGGUGAAUCAUCAGAAAAAAAACUUUAUUGUCUUGGAUGGAGAGUUGCCUCAUUGGCACUCAUAUCUUAUUAUUGUUAACCUUUAGAUAAAGAGAUGAUUUGUUUUCACAUUUUCUGCUUUACUAAUGGCAAUUACAGUUUACUAUGCAAUAUAAAUUUGGCUUAUUAUUGAAACAUUGCAAUAAUGAUUAUUUAGAUACCAACAACAGUUCUGCCAAAGUUUGCCAAGCCUAUAAGUGUUUAUUUAUCAUGAAUUGAUUUGGGUAAUAGGCUUGUUUAUUAUUAGGAGUUAUUUCCCUUUCCUUAGUCGCUUGAGAGAAAAAUCUAUGAUAUAAGAAUAAGAAUUUUAUUAAUCUAAUCAAGAAGCCAUAAAGGGCAUCAUUUUACAACACAAUAUGAUUGGAAAAAGCAAAACAGAAAACUAAUACAUACUAUAACAUUAUGGACAGGAUCAGAGCCUAACACAACAUGUGUUUUAUGCAAGAUCAGGUCUGGAUUAGAUUUACAAAAUAGAGAAAAAUGGGCACAUAUUACAGAAAAAAGGGCCAAAUAAUUGGAGAAAAUUAAUAAAUAAAACAGAAUAAUGGGGUUCUAGAAUAUAAAGAAUAUCGGUAGAGAAUAUUUGGAUAUAAGGAAUACAGAAAAAUCAUUUAAAUAACAAAAGAGGGUAACACUGAGUUAGCUAUAAAACUAAUCUUCCCUGAGGCCCUAAUCAUUAAAAAUCAUUAAAUAACAAAAGAGGGUUACACUGAGUUAGCUAUAAAACUAAUCUUCCCUGAGGCCCUCAUCAUUAAAAAUCAUAACAAAAGAGGGUUACACUGAGUUAGCUAUAAAACUAAUCUUCCUGAGGCCCUCAUCAUUAAAAAUCAUAAACAAAAGAGGUUACAGUGAGUUAGCUAUAAAACUAAUCUUCCCUGAGGCCCUCAUCAUUAAAAAUCAUUUAAAUAACAAAAGAGGGUUACACUGAGUUAGCUAUAAAACUAAUCUUCCCUCAUCAGAGGCCCUCAUCAUUAAAAAUCAUAAACAAAAGAGGGUUACACUGAGUUAGCUAUAAAUGUAAUCUUCCCUGAGGCCCUCAUCAUUAAAAAUCAUUUAAAUAACAAAAGAGGGUUACACUGAGUUAGCUAUAAAACUAAUCUUCCCUGAGGCCCUUAUCAUUAAAAAUCAUAAACAAAGAGGGUUACACUGAGUAAGCUAU